UAACACCUCUUCUCUUCCUUUUUCCUUGAAAUUUUCAGCUUCGUCCUCUCCCAGUUGCUUCUCUCAUGGCAGCAACACUUCUUUGAGCUUCCAAUAUUUCAUUUUCUCACAUUUUCAUCUAUUCAAGGUGAAAAAUGACCAAUGAUUAAAGAAAAUUUUUCAAGGAGAUAAUUGAGGAAAAUUUUUCAAGGAGAUAAUUGAGGACAUUUGAGAGAUUUUAGAGUUAAAUUAUCACGCCCAAGAUGUGAAAGUGGAGUUAAUUCACACCCUGGGGAGUGAGACCUAUGGCUCAUUAAAGAAAAAUUGAAGGAAAUGCUGAUUUUGGUCUCAGAUGAAGUUUCACACCUUGGGCGUGAAACAACAAAACAAGCAUGGGCAGAGUGUGAAUUAUAAAAUCAGCCUUUUGUAGGUCAGAUGAGGAUUCACACCCUAGGCAUGAAAGGCCAGGGUCAGUAUGGCCAAGGUGUGAAUUAUUGUUUCAGAUCAUAAUUAACUUUUCGAAAAAGGAAAGAGGAGAGACAAUUUUGGAGAGUUUUUAAUAGUUUUUUUACAUAUUCUCUUCACCCAAAAAGCCCUAAAUACUUCUUGAAUCCAUUUUUAAAGAGAAAUCAAGCUUUUGGAGUGGAUUUUCUUGAAGAUUUGGCUCUUGGAGGGGGAAUCUCACCAUUUACAUAUAGAGUUCCUACUUUUCUUUUCUUUUCCGUGUGGAUUGAAACCCAUUUUUGUUGAUAAUGUUUGAUUUGGAUUUUAUAGUCUUGUUUUUAUUAAUAUGAGUGGCUAAAUAUUUUAGCUAGAGAUUUUUAUGUAGCUUGACCUAAGUAUUUUAUCAAUUAUCGUCUAUUUUCUCUA